ACGCUCGACAUCUACGGGAGCAGCAGUAGGGAAUCUUCCACAAUGGGCGCAAGCCUGAUGGAGCAACACCGCGUGAGUGAAGAAGGGUUUCGGCUCGUAAAGCUCUGUUGUUGGAGAAGAACGUGCGUGAGAGUAACUGUUCACGCAGUGACGGUAUCCAACCAGAAAGUCACGGCUAACUACGUGCCAACAGCCGCGGUAAUCUGAGCGGGCUGGCAAGGC
rnacentral:rRNA from 1 species